rnacentral:lncRNA from 1 species
UUCUUUUGGUGUAACCUAUUUUCUUUCCAAUUUUACCCUUCAUUUAUUGCAAAAAUUUCAAAAAAAAAAUAUAUUUAAAGGGUGGAAGUUGAAGUCGGUUAUAUCAUUUCAAAAAGAAAAUAUAACUACUCUUUGAAAUUAAAACACAAAAACAAAAGAAAGGAAAAUCCAAGAACCCAACAUAUAUAGAACAAAUUGGUUAAACAUAUUACAUUUUUUUUAUAAUGUUUUUGUGUGUUUUCAAUUCCAUGGCACAUAUGUUCCGUUAUCAAUUAUUUGAUAGGGCUGGAAUCAAGGCAUUUGGAUUACAUAGAUCAACUUAAUUUUGGAGUCUUGCUGAAAUUUAAUUUCCAUUUGGUGAAUUGCAAUGAUAUUGCAUCAUAUCGAUAUAUGUAACGGUUUAGAGUAAACAAAAUUCUAUUAUAUGACUUAUAAUGCACAUUGUAUGGAUUGAAAUUGUUUGUAUUCUUUAUUGUUUUUAUUUCAUCAUGUCUUUUCUUUUGAAAAAACUUUUCUUUUGAAAAAAGAAAGAUGAACAUGUGUUAACUGCUUUUCAACCAUGCAUGUUGUGGUGUUUGUACAAAUGAAAUGAAAAACUUUUGAUGAAAGCAAAUAAGUUAACGUCUGAAAAAUUUCGGAUGCAUGAAAAUUGUAGUGGAUUUUUAUGUGUUGUUGAUGGUAGAGAGUGCAAGUCAUUAUGCCAAUUGUGGGUUCAAUGGUGAAGAAACUUAAUCUCACAUAUGCCACCCGAGAGAUGGUCUAGAAAAGGAAAUGUGAGAACCCUUUAAAGGUUUGUUGUCUCAAUUUUUCAUCUACUAUAUUUUAAAUAUUUGAAUUGACUUUGAAGCAUAAUAGUGUAAAUUGCUUCUUCUGUUUUCCAUUUAAUAGGGUGUAGGAUAUCCAUUAUUCUCAAUUUUGAAAGAACUAUUUGGCAUCUAUUGAUUUCUUAAAUUAAAUCUCACGUCAUUUUGAUAGCCCAAUAAAUAAUACCAAGGUAUGAUAAAUUAUAUAUGCAUGUCAUGAUAUAAAUUCUCCUUCCGGAAAAAAAAAAUGAUAUUAAUUCUCCUAAUGCUUUUUUUUUUCAAUAUGGUGAAUCACUCUUAAAAUAUUUGUUAACUCAGUAUUGUUUUAUUUAAUUUUUAUUUGUAUGUGUUUUAUUUAGGUUGAAAAGAUUAUAACUUAACUCUAUUCUUCACCAUGACUAUUGAUGGUUACUAAAUUGCUUUUGCCAUUGUGUCAUAAUUAAAGAAUAUCGUGUUUUUAUACAUAAAGGUUAGAUUCUAUACUUCACCUUUGAUGUGUUCAAAUUCGGAGUAUUUUCACUCAAUAAUUAAAAAAUUUGACAUCCUUUUUAUUAUUCGAAUCUUAUCAUUUCAUUGUUAAAAAAUUGUUAUAUAAGAAAAUGAUAUUGGAAGUUAAUUAAUCAUUAAAUAGAUAUAUAUUAUUAGUGUUGUUUUAAUUUUUCUUUCUCUGAUGAUUUUUUUUUCCAUUUAUAAUUUGAUAUGGAAGAUGUGCAGAUUAGUGCAAGGAGAAUACGGAUAUGGUGGCACUACAUAUAUGUUUGUUAUUGGAGGGGAAUAUUAAAAAAUAACAUAUUUUGUUUCAUGUCUCUUCCUCUCCCAGCCUUUUUGGUUUUAUUCAAAAGGUUGGAAAGAUUGUGCUACAAUAUCAAAAUAGAGUGAUAUUAUU